UUGUCUUUUAAAUAAAGACCAGUAUGAAUGGCAAGACGAAAGUUCAACUGUCUCCCUAAAUUAAUCAGUGAAAUUGAUCUUUCCGUGCAGAAGCGGAAAUAUAAUUAUAAGACGAGAAGACCCUAUGGAGCUUUAAACAUAUAAUCAAUUGUAAAACAUAAGAUCCGAAAGACUAAAUAUAAAAUAAAACAAUAUGAUUAAAAUUUUAGGUUGGGGCGACCACGGAGAAAAACAAAACCUCCGAGAUGAAGAGAAUAUCUUAAUUCAAGAACUACAAUUCUAAAAAAUAAAAUAUUUAACAUAAUUGAUCCAAUAUUUUUGAUCAACGAACCAAGUUACCCUAGGGAUAACAGCGCAAUCCUCUCCAAGAGUCCCUAUCGACGAGUGGGUUUACGACCUCGAUGUUGGAUCAGGACACCCCAAUGGUGCAGCCGCUAUUAAAGGUUCGUUUGUUCAACGAUUAAAGU
rnacentral:rRNA from 1 species